GCUGAUAUAAGCUCAGUCGGUAGAUUACACCCUUAGUAAAGGGUGAAGACACCAGUUCGACUCUGAGUAUUAGCACCA
rnacentral:tRNA from 1 species